rnacentral:lncRNA from 1 species
CAGGAAAGCCAGCGAACAUGCUCUGGGGCAGCUCCCAGUAGAGCAGCAGUCAGGAUGGUCACGGAACAUGUUCCCAGACCGCGUCACAGGAGGGCCAAGGCUCAACCAAUACCUGCUCAGCAAAGUCUUCUCUGGCCAAAACAGCAUCCCAGAGUCCAAAACCAAGAGAUUCACUACCAAAAAAAAACCCAAAAGAGACCAGAUGAUGGACAGCAAAACACCCUUCAAGCCACCACCUCCAGUGGGCAGAGGGAAGACCCCAAUUUUCCCAAAUAGCAGACUUAUGACCAACUCAGCAACCACAUAAAGAAAACUACUGGAGGAUGUGCUCCACCAAGACACGAGAGUAAACCAAGAAAGGAGAAAGGCAUUGGACCCAGAAAGGAACACAAGUUGAUGUCAAUUUUGCUUCAGAUACCCCUACCUGCUCUGCUGACAGGUCAAAAAUCAAGAAAAGACCAUGCUUCCUGACAGACCCUUUGGGAACCAAGGCAAUGGUCUCCCCACCCGACUAAAGGUUAGCCAGCAUCAGGGAGCAGGAUCCCCCAGGGCCAGUCAUUCAAUAAAGAUUUAAAUACCCCCUGUGAGCAGGUUCCACAGGCAAUGCAGGGAAAGAGCUCUCAGGAAGCAUAGGUGGAGGCAGGG